GACGAACGCUGGCGGCGUGCUUAACACAUGCAAGUCGAACGGAAAGGCCCUGCUUGCAGGGUACUCGAGUGGCGAACUGGUGAGUAACACGUGGGUGAUCUGCCCUGCACUUCGGGAUAAGCCUGGGAAACUGGGUCUAAUACCGGAUAGGAGCCAUUUUUAGUGUGAUGGUUGGAAAGUUUUUUCGGUGUAGGAUGAGCUCGCGGCCUAUCAGCUUGUUGGUGGGGUAAUGGCCUACCAAGGCGGCGACGGGUAGCCGGCCUGAGAGGGUGGACGGCCACAUUGGGACUGAGAUACGGCCCAGACUCCUACGGGAGGCAGCAGUGGGGAAUAUUGCACAAUGGGCGCAAGCCUGAUGCAGCGACGCCGCGUGGGGGAUGACGGCCUUCGGGUUGUAAACUCCUUUCGCUAGGGACGAAGCUUUUUGUGACGGUACCUAGAUAAGAAGCACCGGCUAACUACGUG
rnacentral:rRNA from 1 species